rnacentral:lncRNA from 1 species
CGCUCCUCGCGCAGCCGGUACAUGUGCGCGCGGAUCUCCUUCUUGCGGGAAAAGUCCUCCGUCUGCUGCCACUGGAAAUUCAUACGAUGCUGUACGGGCCACCAUAUGGCGCCGCACCCGCCGCCCUUGCCCUGCGCCACAGCCUUACAUGGCUACGUGCUCCACUCGGACGACGGCCGAACGCCUCACAAGGAUUUGGAACAGAUGUCUUUUUAAUUUCAAAGCACGACUUAAUGACUGAUGGUGACAAAGAAGAUUAAAUCGCCUAAAUACGGUUACAUGGAAAAUAUUUGCAAUAA